UACGAGUGCCUCAAGCGUUAUCCGGAAUUAUUGGGCGUAAAGGGUGUGUAGGCGGUCUUGUUAGUCUUGUGUUAAAACCAGAAGCUCAACUUCUGAUAUGCACAGGAAACGGCAAGACUAGAGUGCGCGAGAGGUUUGCGGAACUCAUGGUGUAGGGGUGAAAUCCGUUGAUAUCAUGGGGAACACCAAAUGCGAAGGCAGCAAACUGGCGCGUCACUGACGCUGAAACACGAAAGCGUGGGUAGCGAAUGGG
rnacentral:rRNA from 1 species